rnacentral:lncRNA from 1 species
AGGAUUUAAUCAUGGAUUAUCUUUGUUUCGGAUCAUACAUUGGCAUUUUGUGUUUUUUGAUGUAGAUUGGUGAUUCUAAGUGCCUAAACCACAUUUUUGGAAGAAUUGAUGGACAAGAUAGAAAGAUAAAUCCAGAGAGUUCAACAACGCAGCUGGGGAGAAUUCCAUAACCUGUGGAGUUUGCUUCAAAAUGCAGUGACAAAACAGAGAGCUCCACAAGUGAGUUGUGGUUUCUACCACAACCUAUGGAUUCACGUCAGGAUUUGGCAAGAGGAACAGAGAAGAACACAGACAGAGUGGGGAAUUUUCCAUGGGUUGUGA